GGCCCCAUAGCUCAACUGGAUAGAGCAAGCGCCUUCUAAGCGCUAGGUUCCGGGUUCAAGUCCUGGUGGGGUCGCCA
rnacentral:tRNA from 2 species